AAGCCAGACUCCUACGGGAGGCAGCAGUGGGGAAUAUUGCACAAUGGGGGAAACCCUGAUGCAGCGACGCCGCGUGAGCGAUGAAGUAUUUCGGUAUGUAAAGCUCUAUCAGCAGGGAAGAAAAUGACGGUACCUGACUAAGAAGCCCCGGCUAACUACGUGCCAGCAGCCGCGGUAAUACGUAGGGGGCAAGCGUUAUCCGGAUUUACUGGGUGUAAAGGGAGCGUAGACGGCCGUUCAAGCCAGAUGUGAAAGCCCGGGGCUCAACCCCGGGACUGCAUUUGGAACUGUGCGGCUAGAGUGUCGGAGAGGCAGGCGGAAUUCCUAGUGUAGCGGUGAAAUGCGUAGAUAUUAGGAGGAACACCAGUGGCGAAGGCGGCCUGCUGGACGAUGACUGACGUUGAGGCUCGAAAGCGUGGGGAGCAAACGGGAUUAGAUACCCGUGUACC
rnacentral:rRNA from 1 species